rnacentral:rRNA from 1 species
UAGGGAAUCUUAGACAAUGGGGGCAACCCUGAUCUAGCCAUGCCGCGUGUGUGAUGAAGGCCCUAGGGUCGUAAAGCACUUUCGCCAGAGAUGAUAAUGACAGUAUCUGGUAAAGAAACCCCGGCUAACUCCGUGCCAGCAGCCGCGGUAAUACGGAGGGGGUUAGCGUUGUUCGGAAUUACUGGGCGUAAAGCGCACGUAGGCGGAUUAGUAAGUUAGAGGUGAAAUCCCAGGGCUCAACCCUGGAACUGCCUUUAAUACUGCUAGUCUUGAGUUCGAGAGAGGUAAGUGGAAUUCCGAGUGUAGAGGUGAAAUUCGUAGAUAUUCGGAGGAACACCAGUGGCGAAGGCGGCUUACUGGCUCGAUACUGACGCUGAGGUGCGAAAGUGUGGGGAGCAAACAGGAUUAGAUACCCUGGUAGUCCACACCGUAAACGAUGAAUGCCAGACGUCAGCAAGUAUACUUGUUGGUGUCACACCUAACGGAUUAAGCAUUCCGCCUGGGGAGUACGGUCGCAAGAUUA